rnacentral:rRNA from 1 species
GAUGAACGCUGGCGGCGUGCCUAAUACAUGCAAGUCGAGCGAAGCGGGGAAGGGGGAGUAACACGUGGAUAACCUCCUUUAAGUCUGGGUUAACUUCGGGAAACCGGAGCUAAACCGGAUAAUUAGAGAUGGAUCCGCGCUGCAUUAGCUAGGUGGUAAGGUAACGGCUUACAAAGGCAACGAUGCAGAGCCGACCUGAGAGGGGGAUCGGCCACACGGGAACUGAGACACGGUCCAGACUCCUACGGGAGGCAGCAGUAGGGAAUCUUCCGCAAUGGGCGAAAGCCUGACGGAGCAACGCCGCGUGAGUGAUGAAGGUCUUCGGAUCGUAAAACUCUGUUAUUAGGGAAGCGGUACCUAAUCAGAAAGCCACGGCUAACUACGUGCCAGCAGCCGCGGUAAUUC